CUACGGAGGGUGCAAGCGUUAAUCGGAAUUACUGGGCGUAAAGCGUACGUAGGCGGUUCGUUAAGUUAGAUGUGAAAGCCCCGGGCUUAACCUGGGAACUGCAUUUAAAACUGGCGAACUAGAGUUGAGUAGAGGGGAGUGGAAUUUCAGGUGUAGCGGUGAAAUGCGUAGAGAUCUGAAGGAACACCAGUGGCGAAGGCGACUCCCUGGACUCGAACUGACGCUGAGGUACGAAAGCGUGGGUAGCAAGCGGAAUUAGAAACCCUAGUAGUCC
rnacentral:rRNA from 1 species